CAUGAGACAUUUUCUCAUCUUUACAAGUUCUGGACAGUAAGAGGAAAGAAGAGAGAAGAAGAAGAAGAAGAAGUGAAGAGAAGAAGAGAAGGGAAGAGAAGGAGGUUCAGCUGGAGAUUUCAGUCCUUGGGUCUUUGAUAGAGGGUUCAGCUGCAAGGAAUUUCAAAUAACUGUGAGGGAGCUAUUCAGUGCCAGGGAGAGAGAUAGAUGUGUCAAAUUGUCAGGCUGAAUGAUGAUGCAAGUAAGGUAAUGCCUUUGGGAUGUGACUUUACUUCCUCCGGACCCAAGUAAGGAGCUAGUGGUUGUUGGAUGCCAGAGGCCGAAGAGCACGAUCCGGAUUGUGCAUAUGACACUUGUGCAUAUGCGGAACCUAGAGAUGAGUGGUCAUCUUCUACUUUUUGAUACUGUAUUACAGAUUGGUAUUCCUUUGGGAAUUUAAUAUAUGUAAGUCAUGUACAGAGGUAAUUGAAAUAACUUUGUUAUGUAAUACACUAAACAUUAUCCCUGCUAACUUAUUGAUUCUUCUACUAUAUACUCUGAAUUUGAUCUAUUUAA